rnacentral:lncRNA from 1 species
CAGUGUUCUGGAAUCCUAUGUGAGGGAGAAACACUCGAAACCCAGCAGCAGUGUUCUGGAAUCCUAUGUGAGGGACAAACAUUCAGAACCUUGUAGUAGUGUUCUGGAAUUUUAUGUGAGGGAAAACAAUUCAGACCCUCAUAGCAGUGUUCUGGAAUCCUAUAUCAGGGACAAACACUCAGAACCCAGCAGCAGAGUUCUGCAAUCCUUUGUGAGGGAAAAACAUUGAGACCCUCUUAGCAGUGUUCUUGAAUCCUACAUGAGGGAAAAACAUU